UACACUCCUGCGGGAGGCAGCAGUGGGGAAUAUUGGACAAUGGGCGCAAGCCUGAUCCAGCCAUGCCGCGUGAGUGAUGAAGGCCCUAGGGUUGUAAAGCUCUUUCACCGGUGAAGAUAAUGACGGUAACCGGAGAAGAAGCCCCGGCUAACUUCGUGCCAGCAGCCGCGGUAAUACGAAGGGGGCUAGCGUUGUUCGGAUUUACUGGGCGUAAAGCGCACGUAGGCGGACUAUUAAGUCAGGGGUGAAAUCCCGGGACUCAACCCCGGAACUGCCUUUGAUACUGGUAGUCUUGAGUUCGAGAGAGGUGAGUGGAAUUCCGAGUGUAGAGGUGAAAUUCGUAGAUAUUCGGAGGAACACCAGUGGCGAAGGCGGCUCACUGGCUCGAUACUGACGCUGAGGUGCGAAAGCGUGGGGAGCAAACAGGAUUAGAAACCCUGGUAGUCCC
rnacentral:rRNA from 1 species